UACAGAGGGUGCAAGCGUUGUUCGGAAUUAUUGGGCGUAAAGCGCGUGUAGGCGGUUUUACAAGUCGGGUGUGAAAGCCCUCAGCUCAACUGAGGAAGUGCGCCCGACACUGUAGAGCUUGAGUACCGGAGAGGAUGGCGGAAUUCCCCAAGUAGAGGUGAAAUUCGUAGAUAUGGGGAGGAACACCGGUGGCGAAGGCGGCCAUCUGGACGGAUACUGACGCUGAGACGCGAAAGCGUGGGUAGCAAACAGG
rnacentral:rRNA from 1 species